GAUGAACGCUGGCGGCGUGCCUAAUACAUGCAAGUCGAGCGAACAGACGAGGAUCUUGCUCCUCUGACGUUAGCGGCGGACGGGUGAGUAACACGAGGAUAACCUACCUAUAAGACUGGGAUAACUACGGGAAACCGGAUCUAACACCGGAUAAUAUAUUGAACCUCAUGGUUCAAUAGUGAAAGACGGUUUUGCUGUCACUUAUACAUGGUUCCGCGCCGCAUUAGCUAGUUGGUAGGGUAACGGCUUACCAAGGCGACGAUGCGUAGCCGACCGGAGAGGAGGGGAAGCCACACGGGAGGUGAGACACGGUCCAGAGUCCUACGGGAGGCAGCAGUGGGCAAUAUGAGACAAUGGGCGAAAGCAUGACACAGCAAUGCCGAGUGUGUGAAGAAGGUCGUGGGAGUGUAAAGCACUGUAAGUGGGGAGGAAGGGAAGUCAGUUGAGACCUGGCGGUAUUGACGUUACCAAAAGAAGAAGCACCGGCUAACUACGUG
rnacentral:rRNA from 1 species